GUCUAUGGCCAUACUACCCUGAACGCAAAUGAUCUUGUCUGAGCUCGGAAGCUAAGCAGGGUCGGGCCUGGUUAGUACUUGGAUGGGAGAAAAAGUCAUUUUUACA
rnacentral:rRNA from 1 species